UACGAAGGGGGCUAGCGUUGUUCGGAAUUACUGGGCGUAAAGGGCGCGUAGGCGGCCUGUUAAGUCGAACGUGAAAUCCCCGGGCUCAACCCGGGAACUGCGUCCGAUACUGGCAGGCUUGAAUCCGGGAGAGGGAUGUGGAAUUCCAGGUGUAGCGGUGAAAUGCGUAGAGAUUGGGUGGAACACCGGUGGCGAAGGCGGCUAUCUGGCUCACAACUGACGAUCAGGCACGAAAGCGUGGGGAGCAAACAGG
rnacentral:rRNA from 1 species